ACGUGAGAUGGAUUGUUGACCUUUAGUGAGUCGGUAAUCCUGUCUUGCGGAGUGUGCCUUGAAUAAAACAGAGUGCUUAAAGCAGGUUUACGCCUGAAUGUUAUAGCAUGGAACGAACAAUAGUGAUCACGUACGUGAUUUUUAAUAGCAAUAGGCCUAUGGUUUGUUGCUGUUGGAGUCGCGUACAUCACCCACCAAAAUAUGGCUGUUGGUUCCAUAUACGGUGAUGAUUAAAAGGAGCGGUUGGGGGCAUCGGUAUUUGGCCGCGAGAGGUGAAAUUCUUGGACCGGCCAAGGACUAACAAAUGCAAAGGCACUUGUCUAGACCGUUUCCAUUAAUCAAGAACGAAAGUGGGAGGUUCGAAGACGAUCAGAUACCGUCCUAGUUCCCACUGUAAACUAUGCCGACCUGGGAUCAGUUUAGAGAUGCUACAAGCUCUAAAUUGGUCCCCCUGGGAAACCUCAAGUUUUUCGGUUACGGGGAGAGUAUGGUCGCAAGGCUGAAACUUAAAGGAAUUGACGGAAGGGCACCACCAGGGGUGGAGCCUGCGGCUUAAUUUGACUCAACACGGGGAAACUUACCUCCCCCGGACCUCAGUGGGCCACACAGACUGAUAGAUCUUUGUUGAUGCGAUGAGUGGUGGUGCAUGGCCGUUCUUAGUUCGCGGAGUGAUCUGUCAGCUUAAUUGCGGUAACGAACGAGACCACAGUCUCCACUUACGAAAUCGAAAAAGAUAACUUAUUGUGUAGGACUUGUCCUUAUCAGUAGGUUGUUGUUGGCUAGAAGUGCGAUCGUAUGGUGACGGUUCUGCGGAGCAAUCUAUCGAGGCGAAGCUGUACGGUUGAGCCUUUUCCUUUGUAUCAAGCACAAUAAGCUCUACUUGUUGCUGCCGAACGGAGA
rnacentral:rRNA from 1 species